rnacentral:snRNA from 1 species
UGCUGUCACUCCAGCCCUGACUGCGACAUCUGUCACCCCAUUGUUCGCCAGGGUUGAUUCGGCUGAUCUGGCUGGCUAGGCGGGUGUCCCCUUCCUCCCUCACCUCUCCAUGUGCGUCCCUCCUGAAGCUGCGCGCUCGGUUGAAGAGGACGGCCUUUCCCGAGUAGAGACGGACCGGUCUUCGGUCGAGGGUAUACGAGUAGCAGAGCUCCCCUGCUAAAACCUCCAAACAAGCUCUCAAUAAAGGAAAAUAUUUUUAAGAGUAAGAGAACUAAUAUUAAUGCUUUUAAUGAAUAAAAUUAGAUGCGCAAAAUACUUUUCUGUAUUUUAGU